AUCAAGUUGGUCGGCCAACUAUAUCUACUCUAAUAAACUUGCUCAAUGUAGUGAUUGAUACGAGCUAGCUCAUCGUCUCGAGCUAGCUUAGGAAUGCAUGGAGCUAGUAUGUAUUGAUUUUUAUAGGUGUUUUUAAGAAAAAUAAUUAGAGAUUUGUUUUGGAGUGAAAAUAUAUAUAACAAAAGUUCAGCAUAUAUAAGCAUAUAUUUUGAACUUGUAUCAACAUCCAUGUAUAUAUGCUUUUAUAGCUCUCUAGCUAGUCCUUCUUGAAUUUGAUUGGCUUUUUAAGCUAUAUACUAAACAUUAGUUUCGGUAUUUAAGUUCUGUAUGUCACCCACCGCGACACUAUGCUCUCGAUUAGGGUUGGCAUAGGAUCAUAUAGAAGAUAGCAUGCUCGUCGUGUGCCUUUGGUAUCUUCUCAAUUAUAAACAUAUGUUAUCUAGACACUAUGCUCUCUAGAUAACAUAUGUUUAUCCACAUCUUCCCCUACACCUCGGCCUAGCUCCAAGUCAAGUCAUCCCUUGAAACUCACUCUCAUGCUUGAUUCUCAUUUAUUUCUCAAGUCUCUUACUACUCUCAACUUUUCUCUGCAUCCAUCUUUCACCAAAAUAGAUCAAGCAAACUUACCUAAUUAAGCUAAUCCAGAUUAUGUAAUCAUAGAAGGGGCCAGUUAUUGAUUGGACGUGUCUGUCGUGUAUGAAGAGGACGGUUUGUCCUCUAAUCUUGCAUUUCCUGUCAUAUACAGGAAAAUUACCCUGUUUUAUUAUAACAAACCAAACCCUGAAAACGAUUUCCAUAUUUUCUAGUCCUGUGGUCUGGACCACCAGUACAGAAUUGAUCAUUGUACCAAUUAAGCAUGGGUAUUUUCUAGGAAAUUAAUAUGCCAACCAGCCGCUACUGGUUGGCAAAUCCGGAUCCUAUUUUCUACGUGGAUGCUUACUGUGCAAGUUACACGCGGACCCUUUAAAACCCAGUUAGCCGAUUUGGCACCAUCAACUCUUGGGUCCCGGCCGGAGCAUCUUUGAUCUUUCUCACUUCAACUAUUUAGGUCUUCUAGCUGGGUAUGGUUUGCUUGGUAUUAUUUUUAUUUUCUUGGAUAAUUAUCUGGUUUGCUCGGUGCAUGUACCAUUUGAGCUAAGAGGGUCUGUGAUUUUGCAGAAAUUGAUUUGGAGGGUGUGGCUUUCACGUGAAGUUUUGGUAUCCAGCAACAUGCAUGUCGACCAUCUCUCUGGUCCAUAUCAUUUUGCAUGACUUGGUCUUUGAUUCUUGGCCGCGUGUUUUGUAUACGAGGAUGCACAGUGUGUACCCAGCUUUAGCACCAAGCAAAGUGACAACCUCUCCACCCAGAAAACUAUGAGAAUGAUUGAGAUGCAUGAUGAUAAUAUACCCAGCAAGAACAUGCACAUAAAAUAUCAGCUCCCACACACCACUAGUCCAAAACAUGAGAGCGAAAUCUGGUUUCCUCAGUUUGCUACUCUCAUUGUUUCUUUUACCGACUAAACUACUCGAUCUCAUUGUUUAUGAACAUGCAUGAUGUAACUUCUGUGUAUGCAGUAGUACGUACGUAGCUUAGGGUUAUUGUAUAGUCCAAGUUGUAGUAUCUGAUUAAUAUUCGAGUGUUCGUAGCUAGAUCUGAGCAUACAACAACCUCAAACACAGUGAAACUUGUAGAUGUUAAUAUUUAGAGCAGUGUCUGUGUUCUUCUACCUAAACUGUCCUGGUCUGGUCCUUGAUUCAAUUCGCAGCUGCUUUUGCUCGCACUUUUAACCAAUGAGCCUGCUGAAUCUUCAAGCUUAUUAGCUUUUUUUGGUCAACUUCAAGCUUAUUAGUUGCCAAUACUAAAUGCAGUUGUAGGAUUAUGAUGCAUGGUUGAAUCCCAUCAAUGCUCUCUUGGACUGUGAAUAAUGCAGACCGUGAUUAGGUAAAAUUCUUACCUAAAUCUGUGCUUACUAUGCUUGUUGACAAGAUAAGGAUCUUACACACAGGACAUAAGAUGAUGAAGUUGUGAAACAACAUUACUUGCCGACAUUGGUUAUCCUUUGUUGGCUAGCUCUACCGACUCCAUUUGGUUCCAGAUUAAAUAUUAAGUGUGCUUAGAACUGAGCAUGCAACAACCUUAAACCACAGGAUGGAACUUAUUAUUGUUAAACAAAACCUGUACGUACUUAAGAGUUGGGAUUGGCCUGAAGAUCAUCAAGGUGAUUAAACUAAUGAUAGAAGAACAAGAGAGACGUACACAGAUACUGUAAAGAAAAUACAGCGUGAUAUGCAGAGAUGUGGGGAGAAAGGAGAAGAUAAUAUAAACAUAUAUUGGUGUGUAUAAAUAAGUGGAUGGCCCUUCAUGGGAUGAAAGAGGCUCAAAUAAUUUAAGGGAUUCACAUAUUGUUGGCUGCGGGAGCCAGUAGUAAAUGGGGAAUACAUAGAAAUGGACCCAAAACAUGUUUCAUGAUUUCUCAGCACUACCAGUUUCACGUACUGCUGCCCCAAUUGUCUCUGCUUCCUCUGCCACUCUGCACAUGAUCACCAGACUCAUCUAAUCUGCACACACACAUGUAACAUAUACUUAUGACACUGAAUAUCAAUAUGAUUGCUGUUACAUAUAUUUAUGUAUGAAUUGAAUUCAGAGAGGCAGUGCCAGACUGCCAGGGUGCCUCUAAACAAAGACCAGCCUGUUUCUUCUUCUAGCAUUUUCUUCUUGCUUUUCUUGGGGUCACCAAUAUCCAAGGCACUUGUGUAUUCUUAAAAAAGGGUUCCCAUAACAUGUGCCCAUUUGGUGAUUAGUCACUAGGGUUUAACCAAACUAAUCAUCUUUUCCAUAUUUGUGUAUCUAAUUAUGGUUCAGAUUUUCAGGUGUGCAUACACAUUGGGAAAUAUGUUACAACCACUUUAAGUGAGGAACAAGCAUUUGUGAGAGUUAGUAGAGGCAGAUAGAAAGGAGGCAGCAGCUGCAUGUUUUGGUUUUCUUGAAUGAUAAUGUGAUGAGAGCAAUCAUUUUUCAGGUUUGUCAAGGGCCCUCAAUCUCAUGCAAUUCUAUUCUACAAGCUUAUAGCCCAUGCUGCUCUUCUGCCAAUGUCCGAGUAAAAUUCU
rnacentral:lncRNA from 1 species